AGAUUGAACGCUGGCGGCAGGCCUAACACAUGCAAGUCGAGCGGCAGCACGGGUACUUGUACCUGGUGGCGAGCGGCGGACGGGUGAGUAAUGCCUAGGAAUCUGCCUGGUAGUGGGGGAUAACGCUCGGAAACGGACGCUAAUACCGCAUACGUCCUACGGGAGAAAGCAGGGGACCUUCGGGCCUUGCGCUAUCAGAUGAGCCUAGGUCGGAUUAGCUAGUUGGUGAGGUAAUGGCUCACCAAGGCGACGAUCCGUAACUGGUCUGAGAGGAUGAUCAGUCACACUGGAACUGAGACACGGUCCAGACUCCUACGGGAGGCAGCAGUGGGAAUAUUGGACAAGUGGGCGCAAGCCUAGAUCCAGCAAUGCCGCGUGUGUAGAAGAAGGCCUUGGUAGUAAGCAACUUUAAGUUGGAGGAGG
rnacentral:rRNA from 1 species